CACGUAGGGGGGCGAGCGUUGUCCGGAUUCAUUGGGCGUAAAGAGCUCGUAGGCGGCUCAGUAAGUCGGGUGUGAAACCCUCAGGCUCAACCUGGGGACGCCACUCGAUACUGCUGUGGCUAGAGUCCAGUAGAGGAGUGUGGAAUUCCCGGUGUAGCGGUGAAAUGCGCAGAUAUCGGGAGGAACACCAACGGCGAAGGCAGCACUCUGGGCUGGAACUGACGCUGAGGAGCGAAAAGCGUGGGUAGCAAACAGG
rnacentral:rRNA from 1 species